UACGGAGGGUGCAAGCGUUACUCGGAACCACUGGGCGUAAAGGGCGCGUAAGCGGCCUAGCAAGUCUGGUGUGAAAGCCCAGGGCUCAACCCUGGAAGGGCACUGGAAACUGUUAGGCUUGAGUUCCGGAGAGGAGGGGGGAAUUCCCGGUGUAGCGGUGAAAUGCGUAGAUAUCGGGAGGAAUACCGGUGGCGAAGGCGCCCCUCUGGACGGAAACUGACGCUGAGGGGAGAAAGCGUGGGGAGCAAACAGG
rnacentral:rRNA from 1 species